GAUGAACGCUGGCGGCGUGCUUAACACAUGCAAGUCGAACGAAGCACUUUAACUUGAUUUCUUCGGAUUGAUUGUUAUUGUGACUGAGUGGCGGACGGGUGAGUAACGCGUGGGUAACCUGCCUCAUACAGGGGGAUAACAGUUGGAAACGACUGGUAAUACCGCAUAAGCGAACGGUAUCGCAUGAUACAGUGUGAAAAACUCCGGUGGUAUGAGAUGGACCCGCGUCUGAGUAGCUAGUUGGCGGAGUAACGGCCCACCAAGGGAACGAACAGGAGCCGACCUGAGAGGGGGACCGGCAACAUUGGGAAUGAGACACGGCCCAAACUACUACGGGAGGCAGCAGUGGGGAAUAUUGCACAAUGGGCGAAAGCCUGAUGCAGCGACGCCGCGUGAACGAUGAAGUAUUUCGGUAUGUAAAGUUCUAUCAGCAGGGAAGAAGAAUGACGGUACCUGACUAAGAAGCACCGGCUAAAUACGUGCCAGCAGCCGCCGUAA
rnacentral:rRNA from 1 species